GUGAUUGUUCGCUUUACACGUCACUCUUUGUGACGUACCCAGGUGGGGGCGGGGAAAAGGAGGCCGGAUGAAGGCGCAACAGCAGAGGCUGAAACUAGGGAUUGAGUAGGUUUUCGCGCAGGCGCGUACAAUUGAAGCGCACACCUGGGUUUCUUAAUUUCUCCGCAUCCCUUUUGCCCACCUGGGUCGGGUCUUUUUGCGCAGUGUGGGAGCGGCCUUGGAAUGGAGUGUAGCCGUGGGUCGAAGGGUGUUGUUUCCCCAGGUUCAGGAAGAGAUUGCCCUCUUUUAGGGUAAGAGCCUAAAGAGAGUCGAAGGGAGAGCCAGUGAAGUGUCCUAUCCAGCCGCAGGGGUGGUUUCCUGAGCCGCGUGGCUCCUGGGCCUUCCCUGCUUAAGCCGGGAAUGCUCCUCCCUUGGGGCAGGACCCUCCCACGUCCAUCUGCCCGGGCUUCCAGUUCAAGGCCGGUUGGUUACAGCAGGAGCCUGAAAUGCUGAACUUCAGUUCUUCGUGGCUUUUCAAGGAAACUAAAUCGUUUCCUCCUCCAAGAUGCUCCUCCCACGGCACUAUUUUCACUGAUUUACUACAUCUGCAUCUUUUUUUCGCGAUAUCUCCGCCCCCAAGGACGUAAUAUUUCAUGGUGUCUUAUAAAGCUUUAUUUACGGUGGCCAAGACAUGGAAACAACCAAAGUG